rnacentral:RNase_P_RNA from 1 species
AAACCAAGUUCGUCUUAUCGUUCUGAGAGAAUACUCAGGGAGGAAAGUCUGGACAGCACCGAGCCGCCGUACUUCCUAACGGGAAGGCAGUCAGUGGGAGACGAUUGACUGACAGAUAGUACCACAGAAAAAAUACCGCCUUGGUUAAGUUUAUGGUUCAAAGGUUGAACGUUAAAGGUCCAAAAAUCAAUAACUAUUAGCCGAUAACUCAUUGACAAACAAGGUAAGGGUGAAAAGGUAGAGUAAGAGCCUACCGCCUCCGCAGUGAUGCCGAGGGCAGGGCAAACCUUACGGGCUGAAAGACCAAAUAGGCGUCAUCUAAGAGUGGCUCGCUCGCGUUUUCUACCAAGAAAACAAUGACGUGGGUAGGUUGAUAGAUUUUGUUGGUGACAACAAAGCAAGAUAAAUGAUAAGAGCCCGAACUCGCUUCGGGAAACAGAAUCCGGCUUAUAGAUUUGGUUUCGUU